rnacentral:sRNA from 1 species
GAAAGUCCACGGUAUGUUUUUAAAAAGU